AGUAAGGUCAGCUAAAUAAGCUUUCGGGCCCAUACCCCGAACAUGUUGGUUAGAGUCCUUCCCCUGCUA
rnacentral:tRNA from 1 species